rnacentral:rRNA from 1 species
UGGGGAAUUUUGGACAAUGGGCGAAAGCCUGAUCCAGCAAUGCCGCGUGUGUGAAGAAGGCCUUCGGGUUGUAAAGCACUUUUGUCCGGAAAGAAAUGGCUCUGGUUAAUACCUGGGGUCGAUGACGGUACCGGAAGAAUAAGGACCGGCUAACUACGUGCCAGCAGCCGCGGUAAUACGUAGGGUCCAAGCGUUAAUCGGAAUUACUGGGCGUAAAGCGUGCGCAGGCGGUUGUACAAGACCGAUGUGAAAUCCCCGAGCUUAACUUGGGAAUUGCAUUGGUGACUGCACGGCUAGAGUGUGUCAGAGGGGGGUAGAAUUCCACGUGUAGCAGUGAAAUGCGUAGAGAUGUGGAGGAAUACCGAUGGCGAAGGCAGCCCCCUGGGAUAACACUGACGCUCAUGCACGAAAGCGUGGGGAGCAAACAGG